CCGCAAGCCUUCCAGCAUGACUGGGCCUACCCCCAUGGCCCUGCUCACUCCUGUAGCGCUUGCAAGAGCAAUCCUGAGAUGGUUUGAGGCCUCGCUCUGCUUCCACGUUGGAGCAAGGUUAUAGAAAUCCCAGACAUUG
rnacentral:snoRNA from 1 species